rnacentral:tRNA from 1 species
AAAGAAUUAGUUAAAUAAAUAACAUUAAUUUGUCAAAUUAAAAUUAUUAAAUUAUUAAUAUUCUUUA